GACGAACGCUGGCGGCGUGCUUAACACAUGCAAGUCGAACGGAAAGGCCCUGCUUUUGUGGGGUGCUCGAGUGGCGAACGGGUGAGUAACACGUGAGUAACCUGCCCUUGACUUUGGGAUAACUUCAGGAAACUGGGGCUAAUACCGGAUAGGAGCUCCUGCUGCAUGGUGGGGGUUGGAAAGUUUCGGCGGUUGGGGAUGGACUCGCGGCUUAUCAGCUUGUUGGUGGGGUAGUGGCUUACCAAGGCUUUGACGGGUAGCCGGCCUGAGAGGGUGACCGGGAACAAUGGAACUGAGAAAAGGUCAAGAAUCAGAAGGGAGGCAGCAGUGGGGAAUAUGGGACAAUGGGCGCAAGCGUGAUGAAGACAUACCGCGUGGGUGAAGAAGGCCGUCGGGUUGUAAAGACCUUUUGGUGGGAAAGAAAAGCAGCAGGUUAAUACCCCGCUGGUAUGAAGGUACACAAAGAAUAAGCACCGGCUAACUUCGUG
rnacentral:rRNA from 1 species